rnacentral:rRNA from 1 species
GAUGAACGCUGGCGGCGUGCUUAACACAUGCAAGUCGAACGGAAAGGCCCAAGCUUGCUUGGGUACUCGAGUGGCGAACGGGUGAGUAACACGUGGGUGAUCUGCCCUGCACUUCGGGAUAAGCCUGGGAAACUGGGUCUAAUACCGGAUAGGACGAUGGUUUGGAUGCCAUUGUGGAAAGUUUUUUGGGUGUGGGAUGAGCUCGCGGCCUAUCAGCUUGUUGGUGGGGUAAUGGCCUACCAAGGCGUCGACGGGUAGCGGGCCUGAGAGGGUGUACGGCCACAUUGGGACUGAGAUACGGCCCAGACUCCUACGGGGGGCAGCAGUGGGGAAUAUUGCACAAUGGGCGCAAGCCUGAUGCAGCGACGCCGCGUGGGGGAUGACGGCCUUCGGGUUGUAAACUCCUUUCGCUAGGGACGAAGCGUUUUGUGACGGUACCUGGAGAAGAAGCACCGGCUAACUACGUG